AUUUAAAUAAUUUAAAUAAAAUAUUGAUUUGUGGUAUCAAAAAUAUGAAUAAAAUUCAUUUUAAAUU
rnacentral:tRNA from 3 species